GACAUCGACGCCAGUUGGAGUAAUUAAGAUGCCUACACAAAAAGAGUGUGUGAUAUGCCAUAGUGCAAUUGGGGUGGCCAGCAAGACCUGCCAGCACUGUGGUGGCAAGCAGCCAUAUAAGGACAGGCUGGAGAGACAGAAGCAGAAAAUAACAGAGGACUGGAAAGAACGGCAGAAAAAAAAACUGCAGCAUCAACAAAGUCUACGAUGCAACUAAUUUAUUGCUCCACAAAUGGGAGCUUUUAGAGAGGCAUCCCGUCCUCCUCCUCGCCAGGAGAACCUCCAGUGGCUUUGUAGCAGAGUGCCUUUGUCCUUGGCCAUUGGACACAGAGGAUGCAAGGGAUGCACUUGUCACAAUAAAGAAGAUUUAUGAGAGUCUUCUCAAUGUGACGGUGACAACCAGGACGAUGGAGACUCCAGCACAGACCAGUGAUGGUCCUGCUACAGGCAGCUCCUUUACCCCACCCGUGUCCACCCCACCUGUGUCCAUCCCGCCUGUGUCCACCCCCUGUGCUCCUCCUGUGUUCAACCUGCCUGUGUCCACCCUGCCUGUGUCCAUCCCGCCUGUGUCCACCCCCUGUGCUCCUCCUGUGUCCAC